rnacentral:rRNA from 1 species
AUACGUAGGGUGCAAGCGUUAAUCGGAAUUACUGGGCGUAAAGCGUGCGCAGGCGGUUUUGUAAGACAGAGGGGAAAUCCCAGGGCUCAACCUGGGAACUGCCUUUGUGACUGGAAGGCAAAAGUACGGCAGAGGGGGAUGGAAUUUCGGGCGUAGCAGUGCAAAGCGUAGAUAAGCGGAGGAACACCGAUGGCGAAGGCAAUCCCCUGGGCCUGUACUGACGCUCAUGCACGAAAGCGUGGGGAGCAAACAGGAUUAGAUACCCUGGUAGUCCACGCCCUAAACGAUGUCAACUGGUUGUUGGGUCUUCAUUGACUCAGUAACGAAGCUAACGCGUGAAGUUGACCGCCUGGGGAGUACGGCCGCAAGGUUGAAACUCAAAUGAAUUGACGGGG